GAUGAAGAACGCAGCGAAAUGCGAUAAGUAAUGCGAAUUGCAGAAUUCAGUGAGUCAUCGAAUCUUUGAACGCACAUUGCGCCCUGUGGUAUUCCGCAGGGCAUGCCUGUUCGAGCGUCAUUUCAACCCUCAAGCCCCGCUUGGUGUUGGGCCCCGCCCGCUGUGGCCGGCCCUAAAGACAGUGGCGGCGCCGCCUGGCCCUCAGCGUAGUACAUCUCUCGCUCCAGGGUCCGGUGGCCGCCUGCCAGAACCCCCCAACGCUGUGGUUGACCUCGGAUCAGGUAGGGAUACCCGCUGAACUUAAGCAUAUCAAUAAGCGGAGGA
rnacentral:misc_RNA from 1 species